AAAUAAAAAUUAAAAAAAUAAAUUUGAAAUGUAAAUGAUAUCUUCAAUCAUGGUUGAUAAUAGAUCUACUUUAUCCACCAAUAAGUACAGGAAGAAACAGGGAAUUAAUUAUCUAUAUAUGCAUUUUGCACGUUAUGUGGGACCCGAAACAGCAAUUAUUGUUUUCUUUCCAAAUAAAGACGUUACCAAUUUGUAGACACGUUUUUAUCUUAUCUCAUCGAUGAAGACGACAUUAGUGAAAUGGACAACAUAUAUGUAACAAUUAGUAGUAGGGACGAUAAAUUGUAGGAUUGGGUUGAAUUUUUUCAAGCCUUAGCUAAAUUUUAUGUUAUUGGCAAUAGGUUUAAGUCCUCUAAAAGUUCAUCUACACUUAAAUGGGUCGGGUUUUGACGGGCUUGGAUUGGGACAGGCCUCCAUUAGUUUUUUAAA
rnacentral:lncRNA from 1 species